CCUACGGGAGGCAGCAGUGGGGAAUAUUGGGCAAUGGAGGAAACUCUGACCCAGCGACGCCGCGUGCGGGAUGAAGGCCUUCGGGUUGUAAACCGCUUUCAGCAGGGAAGAAGCGAAAGUGACGGUACCUGCAGAAGAAGCACCGGCUAACUAUGUGCCAGCAGCCGCGGUAAUACAUAGGGUGCAAGCGUUGUCCGGAAUUAUUGGGCGUAAAGAGCUCGUAGGUGGUUCGUCACGUCGGAUGUGAAAAUCUGGGGCUUAACCCCAGACCUGCAUUCGAUACGGGCGAGCUUGAGUAUGGUAGGGGAGUCUGGAAUUCCUGGUGUAGCGGUGGAAUGCGCAGAUAUCAGGAGGAACACCAAUGGCGAAAGGCAGGACUCUGGGCCAUUACUGACACUGAGGAGCGAAAGCGUGGGGAGCGAGCAGGAUUAGAUACCCUGGUAGUCCACGCCGUAAACGGUGGGCACUAGUUGUGGGGACCUUCCACGGUCUCUGCGACGCAGCUAACGCAUUAAGUGCCCCGCCUGGGGAGUACGAUCGCAAGAUUAAAACUCAAAAUGAAUUGACGG
rnacentral:rRNA from 1 species